CCUACGGGUGGCAGCAGUGGGGAAUAUUGCGCAAUGGGCGAAAGCCUGACGCAGCGACGCCGCGUGAGGGAUGAAGGUCUUCGGAUCGUAAACCUCUGUCAGCAGGGAAGAACGGUCACUGUGCUAAUCAGCAGUGAAUUGACGGUACCUGCAAAGGAAGCACAGGCUAACUCCGUGCCAGCAGCCGCGGUAAUACGGAGGGUGCGAGCGUUAAUCGGAAUUACUGGGCGUAAAGCGCUCGUAGGAGGUAUGGCAAGUCAAGGGGGAAAUCCCCGCGCUCAACGUGGGAACUGCCUUUGAAACUGGCAAACUGGAGUGUGUGAGAGGAUAGUGGAAUUCCAGGUGUAGGAGUGAAAUCCGUAGAUAUCUGGAGGAACAUCAGUGGCGAAGGCGACUAUCUGGCACAUAACUGACGCUGAGGAGCGAAAGCGUGGGUAGCAAACAGGAUUAGAUACCCCUGUAGUC
rnacentral:rRNA from 1 species